rnacentral:rRNA from 1 species
UACGUAGGGACCAAGCGUUGUUCGGAUUUACUGGGCGUAAAGGGCGCGUAGGCGGCUUGACAAGUCACUUGUGAAAUCUCCGGGCUUAACUCGGAACGGCCAAGUGAAGCUGUCAUGCUAGAGUGCGGAAGGGGCAAUCGGAAUUCUUGGUGUAGCGGUGAAAUGCGUAGAUAUCAAGAGGAACACCUGAGGUGAAGGCGGGUUGCUGGGCCGACACUGACGCUGAUGCGCGAAAGCCAGGGGAGCAAACGGG